UACGUAGGGUGCAAGCGUUGUCCGGAAUUAUUGGGCGUAAAGAGCUCGUAGGCGGUCUGUCACGUCGGCUGUGAUAACCCGAGGCUCAACCUCGGGCCUGCAGUCGAUACGGGCAGACUAGAGUUCGGUAGGGGAGACUGGAAUUCCUGGUGUAGCGGUGAAAUGCGCAGAUAUCAGGAGGAACACCGGUGGCGAAGGCGGGUCUCUGGGCCGAAACUGACGCUGAGGAGCGAAAGCGUGGGGAGCGAACAGG
rnacentral:rRNA from 1 species